rnacentral:lncRNA from 1 species
GUUUGUUUUCGGUUUCUUUGUUCGGUUCUUUCUCUCUUUGCAACCGAAGUUCUUAAGUUGAACUAUCUGGUUCGAUCUUUUGUUCGAGUUUUACCUGUGCAUUAGAUGAGUACUUAUUGUAUGUUUGUUGUUUGUCUGCGAUAGAUUACCCGGAUUACGCUGCUUGUUACUUCGAAUCUCUAGGACUCGCGGAUCAUCAGCAAGGCAAGUAACACUUUGAUCAUACCUUUUCUACAACCCAGUUUUAUUGCAUUAGAUCCAUCCUCACACAUUGCAUGAUUAGGAUCUAAUUAAAUUAUAGGAUGGGAAGUAGAUGAGGUAGUACCUAUUACCUGUUUAUUAUGAAACCUUUGGGAGUUACUUCUACGUUUGCUUAUUAUGCCAUGCUAUGCUAGUAGACGUGGAUUGGGUGAGUGAUAUCCAUGACAGAUGUGAGAUUGAUAAUUUUAAUGGUUUAUCUAAGGUGGCAACUUAAACACACAUCUGGGUGGAUUGAGGCACCUGAUGUCUAUCAGGACUUGCCUGUUUUAUUUUGGACCGCCACCCAGGCUCAAAGGGAUCAUAAGAUCUUUCAUGCUAGAAACUUACGUGUGCAGCCACAAGCCAUUAUGGGCUCUGGCAUAGUUGACUAAGUCGUGCGAACUCUUACAGGGUAGACUAGCAGAUGUAGGGGAAAGUAGGUGUACCGGUCUAUCCAUCGUAAGGUGCUAGCGCUUCUGAAAGACUGUGUCUCGGUCAUCCGUUUCUCAAACCCCGGUAGUGCGAGAAAACCAACGGAGGCGAUCGAGUCUUGUGGGGAAAAGUGCACAAACCUCUGCAGAGUGUAAUAAACUAAUCAUGAUUAGCCGUGUCCCCGGUUAUGGACAUCUUGAGUAUCUAGUACUUGAAUAUCAUGUGAAUCUCAACAUGUUACUUCUAACUAAUAUUGUUGGGUUUUAAUUAUUUUUAGUUGGGAUUGAGAAUGCUGUCAACUAUUCUUAAUGUUUAACAACCACCAUGAUAGUUAAAUAAAUUUAUUCCUUUGCAGUAGGGAAAAACUGGCUUUACGCAAAACAGUAACCAUAGAGCUUUCCACCAGCCAAAUAUGCAUAUAGUAUAGCUGUUUCAUUCCAUUACUCUUUAUGUGUUACCUUGCCAGCAUAUUCCAUGUGCUGACCCAUUUUCGGGCUGCAACGUUAAUGUUGCAGACUUUUCAGACGACAAUUAAGGUGCUUUUAGGUCGUGAUUCUAUACUCAGUGAUGCCGUUGGAGUUGAUGGACCCAUUUAUCUUCCAAGUCUUCCGCUGUUAUCGAUAUUAGAUGGCCUUAAGCCAUAUUAUUGUAAUAAGUUCUCUUUUGAGACACCGAUGUAAUAAGUGUGUGAUUGCCACUCUGCUAUAAAUCCUUCGAAGUACUGUGUGGUGUCAGCAUUACUGAUCCAGGGAUGACACCGGAGCACACUAGACUUGAUCCAUUCGUGUCGGGUCGCUACAGAGAUGGUAUCAGAGCAUACGCUGACUAUAGGACACGAUCACUAAGUUAAAGCCAUAGAUCACUAUUCUCUCCUCAUUUUCUAACUCCUCAUCUUUUCUACUCUUUAGGAUGAAGGACGCAAAGAUUAAGUACGCUCAACCGGAUGAAGGCACACCUUUUGGAUUUCACUUGAAGGAAGUCACCAAGUACCUAAACAUUGGAUUACCAAGUUUCACGGAAACUUUCAACGCCACUUUGCCUGAAGAGGAGCGCUGAAAGAUUCAAGCUCACGUUCCGGGAAGGACCUUCGCGCCAAUCACGAAGCCCAUAGAUAGUGUUUUCAAUGCACCAACCUGGAGUUUAGGAAGGAGCAUGGCAGCCCAUAUCACCAUAGGACGCAUUGGAGAAGUUUAUCAAGAAGACCUCAAGGACACUAUCUACCAGAUUUGCGGACGCCGAGAUGAACAAUGGGAGUUAGUCACCACCAAGAAGGAUAGAUCCAUUGCAGCAUUCAUCCAGGAGUUAAACCAGCACAUUAGACGCCACGAGAACCAAAUGUGCAAUGAUAUGAUAGAGUUGAAGAAUGCGAAGACUAGGAUCAUCGAGCUAGAAGGAGAACUGAAGGCUACACGCAAGGACUACAUGGACGAGAUCGUAGCUCUAGCAAGACACAAUGUCGAUCUUAAGCAGGAGAUUGAAGAACUCAAGAGGGAGUUAGCAUCCAGGAAGGAAGACAUGUACGUCGCAUGUCCGGACAACUACAUCGACGACACCGAUUCAGAUCCAAGUGAACCCGACUUUGAAGACGAAGCUGGAACGGAUAUCAUGGAGUCUUCCACCGGUUCAAAUUUCUAGAUGACCACCAAAUAUUAGUAGUAUUUCCCCCAUGUAAACACUAUAGUUCGAGCACUUUUGCGAUAGCUAGAUCGAUUGUAAGUCCUUGUUUGAUUGAAUGAAGUGAUUUUGUGUGAAUUUGCUCAUGUGCAUUGGGGUAGUGUUUUCUCUUUAGACUUCUCUCUAUUCUUAUAUCUCAUCUUUUCUAAACCCUCAGAUGCCUCCGAGACAUGACCCCGGGUUACCAUUAAGGAUUGGUAACUAUGUUAUUCCCUCAGACCUAAUAGUAUUGGAAUCUCAAGGAUUAGAUGUAAUUCUAGGUAUGGAUUGGCUGUCGAUGUAUGGAGGAAACAUCGAUUGUGCCAGUAAGACAAUUUUGCUCACAACGCCAGAAGAAAGAAGGAUCAAGUAUGUAUCCCGGCAUGUGCCAAAUAGGACACAAGUAAAUUGCCUAACAGGAGUAGUGCAGGAGGAAGUACCAGUGGUAAAGGAUUUUCCGGAUGUAUUUCCGGAAGAGUUGCCAGGCAUGCCACCGGAUAGAGACAUCGAGUUUUUGAUUGAGUUAUUGCCAGGUACAGGCCCAAUAUCAAAGAGACCAUACCGGAUGCCAGCAAAGGAUUUGGUAGAAAUUAAGAAUCGGAUUAAGGAGUUACUGGAGAAAGGUUACAUUCGCCCAAGUUCUUCGCCUUGGGGAUCACCCGUACUUCUAGUGGAGAAGAAGGAUGGAUCAUUAAGGAUGGUUGUUGAUUACCGUGGAUUGAAUGAAGUAACCAUCAAGAACAAGUACCCACUACCAAUGAUCAAUGAUCUGUUUGAUCGUUUGCAAGGAGCUAAGGUGUUUUCCAAGAUCGAUUUGCGAUCAGGGUGCCACCAAUUGAAGAUUCGAGAGCAGGACAUACCUAAGACAGCAUUCACCACAAGAUAUGGACUGUAUGAGUAUACCGUUAUGCCAUUUGGAUUGACUAACGCGCCUGCCUAUUUUAUGAACCUGAUGAACAAAGUGUUUAUGGAGUUUUUGGAUAAGUUCGUCGUAGCGUUCAUUGAUGAUAUCCUGGUUUAUUCAAAGAAUGAAGAAGAGCAUAAGGAACAUUUGCGUUUGGUUUUGGAGAAACUAAGGGAACAUCAGUUAUACGCCAAAUUUAGCAAAUGUGAGUUUUGGUUGAAGGAAGUAGGAUUCCUCGGACAUGUUAUAUCCGGAGAAGGGAUAGCAGUUGACCCCGCAAAGGUUGAGACCGUAACCGAAUGGGAAGCACCAACGACAGUUGGAGAGAUCCGGAGUUUUCUUGGACUCGCAGGAUACUACCGGAGAUUUAUUGAGGAUUUUUCAAAGAUUGCAAAGCCUAUGACGGAGUUGUUGAAGAAGGAUACUACGUUCAAUUGGACUGAGGAGUGUGAGGCUAGUUUCCAGGAGUUGAAGAAACGUUUGGUUACCUCACCAGUGUUGAUUUUGCCAGAUCAGACCAAGGAUUAUGAGGUGUAUUGCGACGCUUCACGUCGAGGACUUGGAGCAGUACUUAUGCAGGAAGGGAGAGUUGUUUCAUAUGCUUCACGACAACUGAAGCCUCACGAAUUGAAUUAUGCCACGCAUGAUUUGGAGUUAGCAGCCGUAGUGCAUGCAUUGAAGACAUGGAGACAUUUCCUCAUUGGAAAUCAUUGUGAUGUGUACACGGAUCACAAGAGUUUGAAGUACAUUUUCACGCAGAAGGAGUUGAAUCUCAGACAAAGGAGAUGGUUGGAGCUCAUCAAGGAUUACGAUAUGAGAUUGCAUUACCAUCCCGGAAAAGCUAAUGUAGUAGCUGACGCAUUGAGCCGCAAGAGCCACGUCAAUACGUUAAUAACGGAAGAAAUGCCCAAGGAGUUAUUAGAAAACCUUCGUGAACUAAGUUUAGAGAUAGUUCCGAAAUGCCAUGUGGCAGCAUUGGAGAUUCAGUCAACAUUGAUGGAUAAAAUCAGAGAAGCUUAGAAAUCUGACAAGGAAAUUGCUUCUAUAAAGGAGAAACUAAGCAAAGGAAAAGCAAAGGGAUUUCGUGAGGAUGAGCACGAUACCCUAUGGUUUGAGGACCGUGUUUAUGUGCCAAAUGACCCGGAGAUCAGGAAGUUGAUUUUAAAAGAGGCACAUGAUUCACCAUAUUCGAUUCACCCAGGAAAUACCAAGAUGUAUUUGGAUUUGAAGGAAACAUUCUGGUGGACCAGAAUGAAGAAGGAUAUUGCAGCAUAUGUAGCAGUUUAUGACGUAUGUCAUAGAGUAAAGGCAGAACAUCAGAAGCCAGCCGGAUUGUUGCAACCAUUGCCGAUACCCGAAUGGAAGUGGGAUAAGAUAGGCAUGGAUUUUAUCACAGGACUACCCAAGACGAAAGCAGGAUAUGACUCGAUAUGGGUAGUAGUUGAUCGUUUGACGAAGGUAGCACAUUUCAUUCCAGUUAAGACCACUUACACCAGUGCUAAGUUGGCAAAGAUAUACAUGACUAGGAUCAUUUGUUUGCAUGGAGUUCCAAGGAGUAUUGUAUCAGACAGAGGAAUCCAAUUUACCUCAAAGUUUUGGAAUCAGUUGCAUGAAACUUUGGGAACCAGGCUAGAGUUCAGCACCGCUUUUCAUCCGCAGACAGAUGAACAGACCGAGAGAGUCAAUCAGAUUUUGGAAGAUAUGCUGAGAGCUUGUGCACUAGAUUAUGGAUCUAGUUGGGACGAUAACUUGCCGUAUGCGGAAUUUUCUUAUAACAACAGUUACCAAAUCAGUUUGAAGAUGGCACCUUUCGAAGCUUUGUACGGAAGGAGGUGCAGGACACCGUUGUCAUGGGACGAAGUUGGAGACCGUCAAUUCUUUGGACCAGAUUUGAUUAAGGAGUCUGAACGGAAAGUUAAGUUGAUUCGCGAUAGGCUCAAGGUAGCCCAGUCCAGGCAGAAGAGCUACGCAGAUUCAAAAUGCAAGGAGACAGUUUACGAAACCGGAGACAGGGUGUAUCUCCGAGUAUCCCCACUUCGAGGAGUUAAACGCUUUGGAGUUAAGGGAAAAUUAGCACCACGUUUCGUUGGACCAUAUAAGAUCUUGCAACGUAUGGGAGAAGUCGCUUAUAAGUUGGAAUUAUCAGAGGGACUGUCAGGAGUUCAUGACGUAUUCCAUGUUUCUCAGCUGAAGAAAUGUCAUGCCGAGAUGGCGGAAGUACCGUUAAGAGAUACAGUGCCGCUUGAAGCGAUUCAGUUAAAGGACGACUUAACGUAUGAGGAGAAACCAGUCAAGAUUCUCGAGUUUGCCAGUAGAGUUACCCGCAGCAAGGUCAUCAAGUUUUGCAAAGUUUAGUGGAACCACCACUCAGAGGAUGAAGCCACCUGGGAGAGAGAAGAAGAUUUGCUCAAGGACCACCCUCACCUAUUUUCUAGCCAACCCGAAUCUCGAGGGCGAGAUUCAUCUUAAGGGGGGUAGGUUUGUAACAUCCCAAAUUUUCAAUUUGGAAUGUUAUACACUAGAUCAUCAUGCAUAUCAUAUUUCUUGCAUUUUGUCGAUCCUAGAAAUUUCACGCAACUCAAGGACCCUCGGAGAGAGUUGGAGAUUUCAUUAUUUUCAUAUUUGAGUUCUCUCAAACUUUGAAAAGAGGAUCAUUGGUUUUGUCGGAGUUUAUUGCCUUUUAUUUGGAUUAGGGAAAAAUGCUUGUUUUCAAAAUUUGCAUUUUAGGCCCGGAGAAAAGUUCAUUUUGUUCGACUCAUUUUUAGGAGUCGGGAAAAUUUACUUUAAAAGUUUUGGAGUUCGUUUAGUUCUCUUUUCUUUUUUUUCUGCGCGCGUAACCGAUUAAAAAAAGAUUUUUUUUUCCCGGCGCCUUGGGCCAAGGCCCAGCCAGCAGGCCGGCCGGCCAGGCCGCCGCGCCGCGCCUAGCGCGCCAGCAGGCAGGGAGCCGCCGCCGCCUAGGAGUCCUAGUUGGACUCCGUUUGCCUUUUUUUUCAAAUCUCCCUCUCCUUCUCUUUUUCCUUCUCUUUUUCUUGCCCCCUCCCCCAAGCAAACCCCCUUCCCUCACCAAUAUAAAUACCCCACACCCCCCUCUAAACAUCACAUCAAACCAAGCCCCAAGCCGCAGCCGCGCCGCGCCCUCACCCUAGCGCCGCCGCCGCCCCCUUGCCCACGCCGCCGUUGCCCAACGCCGCCGCCGCCGGAGCCCUGUUCGCCGGAGACCUCGCCGGAGGUAGCCCCGCGCCGUGUCUCUUUUUCUUUUCCUCGGUUCGGUUUUCUUAUAAACCGUUCCGAUUCUUUUCUUCUCUUCCGAUUCGUUUUCUUUCCGGUUCUUCUCUAAACCGUUCCGGUUUUCUAGAUCGGUUUUUCGUUUUGGUUUUGUUUUCCGAAACCCUAGAUCGGAUUCGUUUUCUUUUCCGAUUUAGUUGCCUAGAGACCGUUCGCCGGACCGUUCGUUCUAACGAACGUGAUCACCUGAUUCUUCUAGGUUAACGAACGUCCGUUCGUUCAACCGUUCUUCUUUUCUUCUCGUCGGAUUUAUUCCGCGAUCGCGAUCUCAGAUCGGAUCUUCUUUCUAGUUUAUCUUCUCGCUCGUUUAUCGGAAUUAGGUGAUUCAAGCGCCUGGAGUUUCGUUUCGAAACCGCCGUUCCGACUAAUCAACUUAAACCGGCUUUUGCUACGGUAAAAUUUGACCUAGUUUCAACUUGAUAGAACCGCGUUGUUUUCUUUCGCCGUUUGUUUGCGGUUUCUUUGUUCGGUUCUUUCUCUCUUUGCAACCGGAGUUCUUAAGUUGAACUAUCUGGUUCGAUCUUUUGUUCGAGUUUUACCUGUGCAUUAGAUGAGUACUUAUUGUAUGUGUGUUGUUUGUCUGCGAUAGAUUACCCGGAUUGCGCCGCUUGUUACUUCGAAUCUCUAGGACUCGCGGAUCAUCAGCAAGGCAAGUAACACUUUGAUCAUACCUUUUCUACAACCCAGUUUUAUUGCAUUAGAUCCAUCCUCACACAUUGCAUGAUUAGGAUCUAAUUAAAUUAUGGGAUGGGAAGU